UAUUGUCGACGCUGGCGGCGUGCCUAAUACAUGCAAGUCGAGCGAGACAGAAGGGAGCUUGCUCCCGGAUGUUAGCGGCGGACGGGUGAGUAACACGUGGGUAACCUGCCUGUAAGACUGGGAUAACUCCGGGAAACCGGAGCUAAUACCGGAUAGUUCCUUGAACCGCAUGGUUCAAGGAUGAAAGACGGUUUCGGCUGUCACUUACAGAUGGACCCGCGGCGCAUUAGCUAGUUGGUGGGGUAAUGGCUCACCAAGGCGACGAUGCGUAGCCGACCUGAGAGGGUGAUCGGCCACACUGGGACUGAGACACGGCCCAGACUCCUACGGGAGGCAGCAGUAGGGAAUCUUCCGCAAUGGACGAAAGUCUGACGGAGCAACGCCGCGUGAGUGAUGAAGGUUUUCGGAUCGUAAAGCUCUGUUGUUAGGGAAGAACAAGUGCGAGAGUAACUGCUCGCACCUUGACGCGCCCUAACCAGAAAGCCACGGCUAACUACGUGCCAGCAGCCGCGGUAAUACGCAGCUGGCAAGCGUUGUCCGGAAUUAUUGGGCGUAAAGGGCUCGCAGGCGGUUUCUUAAGUCUGAUGUGAAAGCCCCCGGCUCAACCGGGGGGUCAGUGGAAAGUGGGAGAGUGGAGGCGGUGCGAUCGUCAUGGAAAUCCCCGGGAACGACGUGAAAUGGGUAGAGAUGUGGAGGAACACCCGUGCCAAGGGACUCUCCGGCCGGAAUUGACCCUAGGA
rnacentral:rRNA from 1 species